rnacentral:rRNA from 1 species
ACGCCAAGUCCAUCAUGAGUACGGUAGUACAGACAUGGCCCAUGGAGGGUGAAAGGCCCGUUCGGGUGGAGAUUCGGCAGGCCAGUGCUUCUCUGGGUAGACCUUGGAGUCGGGUUGUUUGUGAAUGCAGCCCAAAGUGGGUGGUAAACUCCAUCCAAGGCUAAAUACAAGCACGAGUCCGAUAGCGAACAAGUACCGUGAGGGAAAGUUGAAAAGUACUUUGAAGAGAGAGUUAACAGUGCGUGAAACCGCUCAGAGGUAAGCAGGUGGAGUUGAACUGCAAGCUUUGAGAAUUCAGCUGGUGAGGUUGGUUUGGGCUUGGUCAAAUUGGUUGGGCCCCGAAGUACGUUAAACCACGUGUCCUUUCCCUUUGGGUUGGGAUGUGCGAUACACUUACCAAGUGUUGCACGCUUUGGGUGUUCAUCGAGCCUCCUUGUCAGUGCACUUUCUCAGAGUGGUCACCACGACCGACGCCGCUGUCAGGCUGUCAUAGUUAAACCGGUCUUGUAGUGUCCUUGUGGCAUUGCCUGGUCGGGAUGGCAGGUAGCUUGUUGGCUCGCUUCGGCUUGCUUUCGAGUGUAAUCAGCUGACUGUGACGGUUCUGUGCAGUGCGUCGGAGACGGCGGCCAGUGGUGUGUGCAUGCGUGCCCGAUUUGUUGGCGUACCCUGGUUUGGUUUCUGUGUUGCCUGUGAUAGCAGGCCUAGUUAUGGCUGGGGUUCGUUCGGCGAAUGGUUGCGUGUGUGGCACUUCCCAAGGUCCAAUAGUCUGUGGUGUAGUGGUAGACUAU